rnacentral:tRNA from 1 species
GCCCAAGGUAGCUUAACACUAAAAGCACUAGUCUUGUAAACUAGAAAUGGCAUCACAUGCCCCUCGGCA